GUUGAGCGGAGAUAUAUGGAGCUUGCUUUAUAUAACUUAGCAGCGAAUGGGUGAGUAACACGUAGAUAAUCUAUCCUAUACUGGGGGAUAGCCCGAUGAAAGUUGGAUUAAUACCGCAUAUAGCUAUAUAGUUGCAUGAUUAUGUAGUGAAAGAUUUAUUGGUAUAGGAGGAGUCUGCGGCACAUUAGCUAGUAGGUGAGGUAAAGGCUAACCUAGGCGACGAUGUGUAGCCGGUCUGAGAGGAUGAACGGCCACAAUGGAACUGAGACACGGUCCAUACUCCUACGGGAGGCAGCAGUGGGGAAUAUUGCACAAUGGGGGAAACCCUGAUGCAGCAACGCCGCGUGAGUGAAGAAGGUUUUCGGAUUGUAAAGCUCUGUUAGCAGGGAAGAGGAAGGACGGUACCUGCAGAGGAAGCCACGGCUAACUACGUGCCAGCAGCCGCGGUAAUACGUAGGUGGCAAGCGUUGUUCGGAAUAACUGGGCGUAAAGGAUGCGUAGGCGGUUAAACAAGUUAUAUGUUAAAUAUAUAGGCUUAACCUGUAGAAAGCAUAUAAAACUGUUUAACUAGAGUGCAGGAGAGGUAAGUGGAAUUCCUAGUGUAGCGGUGAAAUGCGUAGAGAUUAGGAAGAACACCAGUGGCGAAGGCGACUUACUGGACUGUAACUGACGCUGAGGCAUGAGAGCAUGGGGAGCAAACAGGAUUAGAUACCCUGGUAGUCCAUGCUGUAAACGAUGGGUACUA
rnacentral:rRNA from 1 species